AGUGAACGCUGGCGGUAGGCCUAACACAUGCAAGUCGAACGGCAGCACAGUAAGAGCUUGCUCUUACGGGUGGCGAGUGGCGGACGGGUGAGGAAUACAUCGGAAUCUACUUUUUCGUGGGGGAUAACGGAGGGAAACUUACGCUAAUACCGCAUACGACCUACGGGUGAAAGCAGGGGAUCUUCGGACCUUGCGCGAUUGAAUGAGCCGAUGUCGGAUUAGCUAGUUGGCGGGGUAAAGGCCCACCAAGGCGACGAUCCGUAGCUGGUCUGAGAGGAUGAUCAUCCACACUGGAACUGAGACACGGUCCAGACUCCUACGGGAGGCAGCAGUGGGGAAUAUUGGACAAUGGGCGCAAGCCUGAUCCAGCCAUACCGCGUGGGUGAAGAAGGCCUUCGGGUUGUAAAGCCCUUUUGUUGGGAAAGAAAAGCAGCAGGUUAAUACCCCGCUGUUCUGACGGUACCCAAAGAAUAAGCACCGGCUAACUUCGUG
rnacentral:rRNA from 1 species